UACCAGCACCCCGAGUGGUCGGGACGUUUAUUGGGCCUAAAGCAUCCGUAGCCGGUUCUACAAGUCUUCCGUUAAAUCCAUCUGCUUAACAGAUGGGCUGCGGAAGAUACUAUAGAGCUAGGAGGCGGGAGAGGCAAGCGGUACUCGAUGGGUAGGGGUAAAAUCCGUUGAUCCAUUGAAGGCCACCAGUGGCGAAGGCGGCUUGCCAGAACGCGCUCGACGGUGAGGGAUGAAAGCUGGGGGAGCAAACCGG
rnacentral:rRNA from 1 species